GGGAAGGAGUAGUAAAUCCUUGGGAUGUAAACUCCUUUCGAUGGGAAGAUAAUGACGGUACCCUAUAGAAGAAGCCCCGGCUAACUUCGUGC
rnacentral:rRNA from 1 species